UACGUAGGGUGCAAGCGUUGUCCGGAUUUAUUGGGCGUAAAGAGCUCGUAGGCGGUUUGUCGCGUCGGCCGUGAAAUCUCCACGCUUAACGUGGAGCGUGCGGUCGAUACGGGCAGACUUGAGUUCGGUAGGGGGAGACUGGAAUUCCUGGUGUAGCGGUGAAAUGCGCAGAUAUCAGGAGGAACACCGGUGGCGAAGGCGGGUCUCUGGGCCGAUACUGAC
rnacentral:rRNA from 1 species